AACGUAGGUUCCGAGCGUUAUCCGGAUUUACUGGGCGUAAAGCGUGUUCAGGCGGCUCGGCAAGUCGGGCAUGAAAUCUCUCGGCUCAACCGGGAGGGGUUGUCCGAUACUGUCGGGCUUGAGGGCAGUAGAGGGUGGUGGAAUUCCGGGUGUAGUGGUGAAAUGCGUAGAUAUCCGGAGGAACACCAGUGGCGAAAGCGGCCACCUGGACUGUACCUGACGCUCAAACACGAAAGCUAGGGGAGCGAACGGG
rnacentral:rRNA from 1 species